AUGCUUGUUUCAGCAGUACAUAUACUGAAAUUGGAAUGGUACAGAGAAGAUUAUCAUGGCCACUGUGCAAGGAUGACACAUUGUUCUUCAGCCUUGCUUCUAAUAUGG
rnacentral:snRNA from 1 species